rnacentral:rRNA from 1 species
UUGCUCCUACGGGGCGCAGCAGUGGGGAAUAUUGGGCAAUGGGCGCAGGCCUGACCCAGCAACGCCGCGUGAGUGAAGAAGUAUUUCGGUAUGUAAAGCUCUAUCAGCAGGGAAGAAAAUGACAGUACCUGACUAAGAAGCCCCGGCUAACUACGUGCCAGCAGCCGCGGUAAUACGUAGGGGGCAAGCGUUAUCCGGAUUUACUGGGUGUAAAGGGAGCGUAGACGGCUGCGCAAGUCAGAAGUGAAAGCCCGGGGCUCAACCGCGGGACUGCUUUUGAAACUGUGUAGCUAGAGUGCAGGAGG